CAAUUCAUUUCGUUUCCCUCCCAAUCCACCCUCUGUGAAAUUCUCCCGCUUUCAACAAGUUCAUCGAUUCCUCUUCCUUGUUCAUAAAAAGUUGUCAAGUUUAAAGAUUCCUCUUAUUUGUUCACCUCCAUCUGCGAUUUGUGAUUUUUCCCCAUUCUUCUACUCUACUUUUUCUGCGAUUCACCUGCAUCUUUAUUCGCCUGGGUAUGCAAUUCACCAUGGAGUGUUCACCUUGCUUGGAGGGGAUUUGACACCUGCAAGAGCUUUCACAUCGCUUUCUCUGUUUGUUGUUCUUCCAUUUCCUCUUUUUUCUAUUGUUAUUAAUAAAACACUCGUGAACCGAUAUGGUAAGCGAUACGAUACGGUUGACUAGGUGAACUUUCGGUUUACGAUCUUUUCUGAGAAUCUUGAAGUUAUCAGGUCUACUAAUAAGAGAGGACUCAGUUACAAGCUUGGUGUUAAUCGAUUGCAAGUAGUUCCAUGUUCGUUGAUACUGAAACUGAAAGUUACGAAGCUAGUAACAAACUGAUUAUAUUCUUUGUAGUUCUUUUCAUGUGAUCCUUUUCUAUCACUUUUUGAUUCAUAUUUUCUCAUACAGUUUUCUCUCCUAAACAAUCGAAAAUGGAAGUGAAUGGAAACAGCCAUGAAAGCUUCCUGUCUCAUACUAGCCGGCAAGAUUCGCUGUUGGUUUGGCAUGAGAAUAAAAUGGAAAGCCUAUCCAGUCUUCAAUCAGAAGAAAGCAAGGAGAUAUGUUAUUGCAAAGGAACUCACACCAAUUAUGAUGAGUCAAGUAUCACCGUGCCGAUAUCGCCAAAAGAUAAGUAAUUCUUACCUUAUCCAUGGUCUAAAAUUAUAGCUGUUUACUAAGGAAAUUACUUCCUCUAUUGUGUUAGUCACUUAAACCUGUUCAAGCCAUGAUCCUUAUGCUUAAUGACCGAUUUCAGAUUCUAUGAGGUCAUUAACGGUAAAGACGGGGCUGUUAAUGUUCAGACAGUGGAUGAUGCUUGACUGGAAGCCAAGACGGUCUGACAUGCUUAUUGACCCCUUUGGUAUAGGCAAAAUUGUUCAGGAUGGUCUUGUGUUCAGUGAAAACUUUUCUAUUAGGUCGUAUGAAAUUGGUGCGGAUCGAACGGCGUCUAUAGACACGAUAAUGAAUCAUUUACAGGAAACUGCACUUAAUCAUGUUAAGAUUGUGGGGCUUCUUGGUGAUGGCUUUGGUUCUACACCUGAAAUGUGCAAAAAGAACUUGAUAUGGGUAGUUGCGCGGAUGCAAGUUGCUGUUGAUCGUUAUCCUACGUGCUGGCCAAUUGUUGUGGUUGGAAAACUGAUACCAGUACCUGCGACUCCCGUGAAUAACUAUUUUCGAUGAUUUUGACGUGGAAGAACUAGAAGAAAGAUGGAUUCUUAAGCUUCUCAAUAGUCAUGUAUAGAAAUCUUGCUGGUUCACUCUCUCCACGUCGUCUUUUUCUUUUAUCGGAGAUGACCUGCAUUCGGCUGAUACGAGAAAAAUUGGUUGUAGAUAAAGGUGAAGUGUGUACCUAGUAGAUGCCCCCAUGAGAUGGAAAAAAAAUAUGGAUUCUCAUCUGGUGGUUCAAACUCUGGUAGAGGCUUACAGGUAUCAGAAAUGCUCUAUCUCAUGGUUGCUAAUGCUACUCCAUAGCAGCAGAAAGAGAGGGUGAGCAUCUAUACAUGCU